GAAAGGAGGACAGAUGGCCGCCGCGGUCUCCACCUGCAGGGAGGAGACCGGGGAGGAAAGUCCGGACUCCACAGGGCAGGGUGCUCCGUAACGCGGAGUGGGGGCGACCCCAAGGAAAGUGCCACAGAAAACACACCGCCGAUCCCGAUCCUUUUGCACGGGAGGCAAGGGUGAAAAGGUGCGGUAAGAGCGCACCGCCUCGAUGGUGACAUCGAGGGCAGGGAAAACCCCACCCGGAGCAAGGCCAAAUAGGAGGGCGAUGUCUCGCGCCUGCGGGACGAGAGGGUGGCCCGCCCAAGCCCUCGGGUAGGCCGCUGGAUUCCGCUGGCAACAGCGGAACUAGAGGAAUGGUCAUCACCCCAAGGCCGUGCAAGCGGUCUGGGGCACAGAAUCCGGCUUAUGGACUCCUUUCGCCC
rnacentral:RNase_P_RNA from 1 species